rnacentral:lncRNA from 1 species
GGCAAAGAAAAAUAAAUAACGUAGAUAUUCAUGGAAAGUCCAUAACCCAGGACCGAUGAGUAACUUGAAAAUGCAGGCAAGAGUCUACUGCCCUUUUAUCGUUUUUGCCUCUUGUUUCUAUUGCCUUUUAUUGCCUCUAUUGAUGGCAAUAGAAGCUGUGAACAUGGUAAGGAAAAAAGAGACUGCUAAAACGGACCUGGCACUGAGUCUUGUCACACAGCAUUGCAGGUCAAUGAGAACACAAGCCGAAUUUGACUUGACCUUUUUAAAAUCUUCACUGUAACCUUGAUCACCCUCUUAACUGAAUUAUGGAUCUCAGGGAGGUUUGUUGUAAGAAACGGAGGACUGAAAAAGUCUAUGAAGUAAGGGGCGGCCCCGUGGCUGAGUGGUUAAGUUCGUGUGCUCCACUGCGGCUGCCCAGGGUUUCGCCAGUUCGGAUCCUGGGCGUGGACAUGGCACCGCUCAAUAGGCCACACUGAGGCGGCAUCCCACAUGCCACAACUAGAAGGACCUGCAACUAGGAUAUACAACUAUGUACAGGGGCGAUUUGGGGAGAAAAAGCAGAAAAAAAAAAAAAAGAUUGGCAACAGUUGUUAGCUUGGAUGCCAAUCUUUAAAAAAAAGAAAAACAAAUCUAUGAAGUCAUCCAAAUUUUCACAAAAUUCUCCUUGAGAAUGCCUGUAAAUCCCCCCAAAGAAGUCUUUGAAUUCCAUAGGAACAAGAUAUAGCCAAUAUGACUCACGGCAG